UCCGGUUUGACACCGGCAGUCCCCCCAGAGUCCCCGACAUGACUCGCUGGCAACUGGGAGCGAGGGUUGCGCUCGUUGCGCCACUUAAGGCAACACCUCACGGCACGAGCUGACGACAGCCAUGCACCACCUGUGCAGGCUCCGAAGAGCACCCGCUUUCACGGGUUUCACCCUGCAUGUCAAGCCCAGGUAAGGUUCUUCGCGUUGCAUCGAAUUGAACCACAUGCUCCACCGCUUGUGCGGGCCUCCGUCAAUUCCUUUGAGUUUUAAUCUUGCGACCGUACUCCCCAGGCGGGAUGCUUAAAGCGUUAGCUGCGCCACUGACAGGCAAGCCUGCCAACGGCUAGCAUCCAUCGUUUACGGCGUGGACUA
rnacentral:misc_RNA from 1 species